rnacentral:lncRNA from 1 species
AGCACCUGUUCUAAAUCUCGGACCCACGCUUCUCGCGUUAAUAUGCAAAUACCCCGAGGACCUUGUGCCUGAGCCCGCCCUCAGAGAUUCUGAUUGGGUAAGACUGGGAUGGAGUCAAUAACCUCGCAUUUCUGAGCGGCUCUGACGGUAUUGCUGGCCCACAGACGACGCUGGAAGGAGGUGUUCUCGCGCUUGGACCUCUCUGAAGGAUUUUACGGCACUUGUGGAAAGCAGGGCGGAGACGGCAGAUCCUACGCAGACCUGGCUUUUGGCCGAAACAGAACACUUUAAUGCCCCAGUGAGUGUGCAGCCUGGCGAAGGACUCAGAAGCAAUUUUAAGAACCAGAAGUUCUCCUGGGAGACAGCAAAAUAACAUUUCUUCUAAUUCCAUGCAACGUGGACGGAACAAGAAGAUAACAUGCAUGUUUUCUUAUCAAUAUAAAGUGUAAGAGCAAAUGAAGAUUAUAAAACUUACAAAAAGCACAGAUACUUUUAAUUAGAAUAACUGUGCACGUGGUUUCCCUGUAUUAGUAACAACAGUGUUACUACAUUGUUUCCCUGGCAGUUAAGAGAAAGGUGGUAUGUGAUCUGUAUGCUGCUGCUAAGUCGCGUCAGUCGUGUCCGACUCUCUGCGACCCCAUAGACGGCAGCCCAACAGGCUCCUC